AACGCUGGCGGCAGGCCUAACACAUGCAAGUCGAAUGGUAACAGGAAACAGCUUGCUGUUUCGCUGACGAGUGGCGGACGGGUGAGUAAUGUCUGGGAAACUGCCUGAUGGAGGGGGAUAACUACUGGAAACGGUAGCUAAUACCGCAUAACGUCGCAAGACCAAAGAGGGGGACCUUCGGGCCUCUUGCCAUCAGAUGUGCCCAGAUGGGAUUAGCUAGUAGGUGGGGUAACGGCUCACCUAGGCGACGAUCCCUAGCUGGUCUGAGAGGAUGACCAGCCACACUGGAACUGAGACACGGUCCAGACUCCUACGGGAGGCAGCAGUGGGGAAUAUUGCACAAUGGGCGCAAGCCUGAUGCAGCCAUGCCGCGUGUAUGAAGAAGGCCUUCGGGUUGUAAAGUACUUUCAGCGGGGAGGAAGGGAGUAAAGUUAAUACCUUUGCUCAUUGACGUUACCCGCAGAAGAAGCACCGGCUAACUCCGUGCCAGCAGCCGCGGUAAUACGGAGGGUGCAAGCGUUAAUCGGAAUUACUGGGCGUAAAGCGCACGCAGGCGGUUUGUUAAGUCAGAUGUGAAAUCCCCGGGCUCAACCUGGGAACUGCAUCUGAUACUGGCAAGCUUGAGUCUCGUAGAGGGGGGUAGAAUUCCAGGUGUAGCGGUGAAAUGCGUAGAGAUCUGGAGGAAUACCGGUGGCGAAGGCGGCCCCCUGGACGAAGACUGACGCUCAGGUGCGAAAGCGUGGGGAGCAAACAGG
rnacentral:rRNA from 1 species